AACGCACAUUGCGCCCCCUGGCAUUCCGGGGGGCAUGCCUGUCCGAGCGUCAUUUCUGCCCUCAAGCACGGCUUGUGUGUUGGGUGUGGUCCCCCCGGGGACCUGCCCGAAAGGCAGCGGCGACGUCCGUAUGGUCCUCGAGCGUAUGGGGCUUUGUCACUCGCUCGGGAAGGACCUGCGGGGGUUGGUCACCACCAUAUUUUACCACGGUUGACCUCGGAUCAGGUAGGAGUUACCCGCUGAACUUAA
rnacentral:misc_RNA from 1 species